GUAUGAACUAAUUCAGACUGUGAAACUGCGAAUGGCUCAUUAAAUCAGUUAUCGUUUAUUUGAUAGUACCUUACUACUUGGAUAACCGUGGUAAUUCUAGAGCUAAUACAUGCUGAAAAGCCCCGACUUCUGGAAGGGGUGUAUUUAUUAGAUAAAAAACCAACGCCCUUCGGGGCUUCUUGGUGAUUCAUGAUAACUUCUCGAAUCGCAUGGCCUUGUGCCGGCGAUGCUUCAUUCAA
rnacentral:rRNA from 14 species